rnacentral:tRNA from 1 species
GUCGGGAUGGUGUAACGGCAGCACGGGGGUCUCCAAAACCUUCGGUCAGGGUUCGAAUCCUUGUCCCGAUGCCU